AAGACUCCUUUCAGGAAUCAUUUCUUUAGUUCCUACUAGAGAAGCAUCUUUUACCAUGUGGCAUACCAGAAGCCACAAAGAGGAGGUGCAGCAUUCUGUCCUAAGUGUGAAGUGGACGCCUGGUGUUGCUGUGUUGCAAUUGCCAUUUGCUAAUGAUGACCUUGCUUUUCUUACUUAGAGUAAGACAUAGAGAAGGCAGUCAGCCUGAGC
ensembl:snoRNA U3 Small nucleolar RNA U3